rnacentral:rRNA from 1 species
UAGGGAAUCUUCGGCAAUGGGGGGAACCCUGACCGAGCAACGCCGCGUGAGUGAAGAAGGUUUUCGGAUCGUAAAGCUCUGUUGUUAAGGAAGAACGAGUGUGAGAAUGGAAAGUUCAUGCUGUGACGGUACUUAACCAGAAAGGGACGGCUAACUACGUGCCAGCAGCCGCGGUAAUACGUAGGGCGCAAGCGUUAUCCGGAAUUAUUGGGCGUAAAGAGCUUGUAGGCGGUUCGUCGCGUCUGGUGUGAAAGCCCAUCGCUUAACGGUGGGUUUGCGCCGAGUACGGGCGGGCUAGAGUGCAGUAGGGGAGACUGGAAUUCCCGGUGUAACGGUGGAAUGUGUAGAUAUCGGGAAGAACACCAAUGGCGAAGGCAGGUCUCUGGGCUGUUACUGACGCUGAGAAGCGAAAGCGUGGGGAGCGAACAGG